GCGCCCUCCCAACCUCCGCCACCACGAACCCACCAAAGGAAAUGUUUCAAAGUUGGAAAUCAUCAUUCCCUCCACUAAUUAGUGGGGAAUAUCAGCAAAGGACUGACUGUCGAUCAGUGCAGAUCACUCUGGAUGUUGCUGGGCAUGGAGCAUUCUUUCCUCCUCAGCCUGCUCAUAAUAUUUGGCCUGUUGGUCCUUUGACAGCGACUUCCACUGUGGACAGAGGAACACACUGUCAGCAUCCACACUGCAGAACAUAACUACAGGACAGCUGGUACACAUGCACAAA